rnacentral:tRNA from 2 species
UCCCGCUUAGCUCAGUUGGUAGAGCGCGUCACUAGUACGCUAGUUGACAUGACGAGGUCAGUCGUUCGAGUCGGCUAGUGGGAA